UUUUUUGUUUUUGACUUUUACUUUAUUAUAUCUAUAAAGUCUUGCAAAAUAUGAUGUUUUUAUGAUCCUUUAGCCUGAGAAGGAGGAGGGGAAAUCAAGAAAAUCAGAAGACCUGAAACAUCAGUUUGGUGUGUAAGGGGUGAGAACACUGUUGCCGUUGGUGUCAGGCAGACAUGCAUGUGAUCUGCAGACUUCUGUUUCUAAAAAAACAUGAAAAAUGUAUUAAAGACAUGCUUAUAAAAUGUUGUUUGUCCCCCUCCUCCCCCCCGGGAUAGACAGUACAUGCUUGAUAGUGGAGAAAGGAUUGAAUUUGGUGACAUUUGAAUUGGGCUUCACAUGAUGGGCAAAACAUCACAGAGUGAAGUGUUAAGUCUGAGGUCAAAACAACGAUAAAGGCACCAAAUAAACCUUUCCUCCUCCUCCCAAUAAUGGGAGGCAAAGACAAGGAAAACUAGUAGAGGAACUGAAAAAGAAAUAGAAUAAAGCAAGAGUCUCCGAGGCUAAAGAUUAGCCUAUCUAUGAGAAGGGGAGGAAAGAAGCUGCAAUAAUGAUGGUGUCAUUGGGCUCUGGUGUGUGCCUAGAAGUCCUUGGGUGGCAUCUCCAAGUGUAAGACGUGAGGGAGAAGAUGGCAUCUGUCCAUGUGGAGGAUUCCAGGGAGCAGUUUCUGGAAGAAAUAUGAAGAGGGGAAGUGCCUUGGAGAGAAAGGCUGUGGACCAUGGGUAGAUAUUCCAUAACUGGUUCCAUUCAGCUCACCAUGUGGUGGGAAAGAGGCUCUUUGAUUGGCUACAGAGGUCUCCAAAAAAGGCCCAAGAAGUUCAGCUACCAUCUCCUUGUUCCAGCACUCUUCCUGCAGUAAUCAUUGUGCUCUGUAGGGUAGCCUAAAGGGCUUUAUAAGAGGGCUGUUAUGUCAUGAAAAUAUGGAAAGCUUUACUCUAACGGAUACAAAGUGAAAUAAAGUGAGCCAAGCAAACAAGGUACAAAUCCACUAUAGUGGAUUACACUAGAAGUGUAAGUGGAAAGAGCAGCCACAAAACAAUUGAAAAUGAAUGUUGUGAAAUUAUAAAGAACAAGCUCGGCCACAGGAAGACAUAGGAGAAGCUGUCUUCUGACCCCUGAUCCCUGCCUACUCCUCUGAAGAGGUGACAGUCUGUAAAGAAGGUUAAUCUGCAGGCACUGACCAUGCGAGUUUCCAAAGAUCAGGACACUGCACCUACAGGAAUCCCAGAGUGAUAGACCAUGCUGGGUUCUGCAACCAGUCAAGCACUGAUGCGCUCAGGAACAAAGAAUGACCUUUUAGACCCAAUCCAGCCACAAUAAGCUCCACCAUGCCAGCGUUCCUCCUUG